ACCAAAGCUGGCAUCCUUAUCAACUCCACCCAACCAAAGCUGGCAUCCUUUUUUUCUCUGAGCCCAGGUGGGCAGCCACGUUGCUAGUCGGCUCUCUCUGGGGCCUCUCAUCCCCUUAACUAGAGACCAAUAGCACCUUGGAGAGUAUGGGUCUUGCUUUAGAGUCCUGUUGAGUUCUUCCCUUGGUGGCCAAUUUAAAGUAGCUACAUUCAAAUUUUAUUUAUUUUUUUGACCAACACCACAGUGCUCCAGGUGCCAGCAGAGAUGAGUUUUAUCCUUGCUACAAGCUUCUGGUCUUCGAUAUCCAACUGAAACAGAGUUUAAGGAGUUUUGGGGCAGUGGAAGUAUCACUUUAAAUCACAGACUUGUGUCCUCCAAACCUAAAUAUGGACACAGCAAAGAGGAAAAACAAAACCCAGCAGAAAAGGAAAAGUUGAUAAGGAUAAAAAGAAUUAGAGAAAAAUGUGGGGGGCACGUGUUGAUAGAGAAAAGAAGUUAAAUGACCACACUUGCCACUUUCUGGUGUAUCCAGUGGGAUCUGCAGAAUUUCACACGGGU
rnacentral:lncRNA from 1 species